GAAGUGAGCUUCUAGGAAAGUUGUGGUCAAACCAAUCAGUGGCCAGAUUUGAAAUUGGCAUCUGGUGUGGCCACUGGGGACCUGGAUACGCCUCUGAGAACACACAGGGGUUAAAAGCAGAGGAUUCCCAGAGGGACUUUCUCUUUUGAGUCCAGUUGAAGUGGGAAAUCUGAGCUUCUGGGAGGUGAAGAUAUGUGGAUGAGAUUAAUAUUGAGAAAGCAAUUCUUUCCUCUCCAUGUGCAAGCCAUGAGCUGUUAUGGAUGAUGACAAAGUGGAAUAUAGAGAGACAUGAUUCUGCCAUUCAGACAACAGCACGCGUCAAGCAUGAACAAAAUGACUAUAUGAUGACAGUGAUUUCCUAUUAAGUUUUCCUGGGAGCUACUACAAAGCCAAACUAUAGCAACUUUUUUCCUGUAACAAAUGGCAAACUCCUUAGAGGGAUGAUUCCCCCAAAAUGAAAUCUGGUAAAAAGAGUUACUUACUAAAAGGAUCUUCAUUUACCUUCAUUUUCCAGUGUUGUAUGAAACAGGCCACUUUACAUUCCAGCAGAUCUCCUCACUUGGUAUUGUUUAUGCAAAUAUACCCUCUUUUCAAAAAGCGUCUGGCUUCAGAAAAGGCCUGGCAGUGGAGCACAAAAGCGAAGUUGUACAGCAGCUACCAGACCUGAAAAGACAGGCUGAAUGGAGGAAUGGAUGCAAUAUGCAGUCGGCCAGACAAACAGAAGAACCAUUCUUUUCUGGGUACCAGUGGUGUGUGGAGAAGGCAGCCUAUCCCAGAGAGAGGAAGAAAAGGCCUUGAGAUGGGGGUAACUGCCCUGAUCCUAUAGAAAAAAAUAAAAGGCUAAAGGGACCGGAGCCAAGGAUUAUAGAUGCAACUACAGUUAAGACAUAAAACUGCUUUAACCCACUUUUAGGACUUCUUGCGGCAUGGUGAACUUUGCCAAGACAAAUUAAUUGGAAAUUUAUGUUCCUUGUAGGUAGGAAACAUGACAAUGAAAAAGGUAGAACAAAUUUUUUCAAUACAGUAACUUUCCAACCCCUAGGAAAGAAUGAAGACAUUUUCUUUUUGCUGUUAGCUUUAGCAGAUAAGUGCACUGGAAAUUAUUUUUCUAGUAGCAAAAAUUUAGCUGAGAUGAAUUCUCUGUACAGCACUGCAAAUACAUGCUGUCACAUAUGGGCAGAGAGAGCAAGGGAGCACUAGUACAAGGAUGUUGCAUUGCACAAUAUGCACAUAAUAGGAAAUACUGAUUUCUUAAUGCAAUAUAAACAUAUAUAUGCACUUCUCAUCCAUGUUUUAUUUCUUCUUAUAAUGUAAAAGCUUGCUGUAACCCAACCAUUAUACAGUGAAAAACCAUUUAGUUAUGGAUGACACUAUACUGUAACUUCAGCAUUAACUGCUUAUUUAAUAAAAACACUAUUGUCAUUUCCACUGUCUUUAUAAAUCUCCUUAAAUACUUGAGAUAAUG